CUAGCUGGUCUGAGAGGAUGACCAGCCACACUGGAACUGAGACACGGUCCAGACUCCUACGGGAGGCAGCAGUGGGGAAUAUUGCACAAUGGGCGCAAGCCUGAUGCAGCCAUGCCGCGUGUAUGAAGAAGGCCUUCGGGUUGUAAAGUACUUUCAGCGGGGAGGAAGGGAGUAAAGUUAAUACCUUUGCUCAUUGACGUUACCCGCAGAAGAAGCACCGGCUAACUCCGUGCCAGCAGCCGCGGUAAUACGGAGGGUGCAAGCGUUAAUCGGAAUUACUGGGCGUAAAGCGCACGCAGGCGGUUUGUUAAGUCAGAUGUGAAAUCCCCGGGCUCAACCUGGGAACUGCAUCUGAUACUGGCAAGCUUGAGUCUCGUAGAGGGGGGUAGAAUUCCAGGUGUAGCGGUGAAAUGCGUAGAGAUCUGGAGGAAUACCGGUGGCGAAGGCGGCCCCCUGGACGAAGACUGACGCUCAGGUGCGAAAGCGUGGGGAGCAAACAGGAUUAGAUACC
rnacentral:rRNA from 1 species